AUACGGGAGGCAGCAGUGGGGAAUAUUGCGCAAUGGGCGAAUGCCUGACGCAGCGACGCCGCGUGUGGGAUGAAGGUCUUCGGAUCGUAAACCACUGUCAGAGGGGACGAAGGCCCGGCUUUAACUGAGACCGGGAUUGACGGUACCCUCGGAGGAAGCACCGGCUAACUCUGUGCCAGCAGCCGCGGUAAUACAGAGGGUGCGAGCGUUGUCCGGAAUCACUGGGCGUAAAGGGCGUGUAGGCGGCUUGAUAAGCCGCGUGUGAAAUCCCGGGGCUCAACCCCGGAACGGCACGCGGGACUGUCUGGCUAGAGACUGGUAGAGGCAAGUGGAAUUCCUGGUGUAGCGGUGGAAUGCGUAGAGAUCAGGAAGAACACCGGUGGCGAAGGCGGCUUGCUGGGCCAGUUCUGACGCUGAGGCGCGAAAGCGUGGGGAGCAAACAGGAUUAGAUACCCUGGU
rnacentral:rRNA from 1 species